UACGUAGGUGUCGAGCGUUGUCCGGAUUUACUGGGCGUAAAGAGUGUGUAGGCGGUGCUCCAAGUCUGGUGUGAAAUCUCCCGGCUUAACUGGGAGGGUGCAUUAGAAACUGGAAUGCUAGAGGAUGGGAGAGGUAAGCGGAAUUCCUGGUGUAGCGGUGAAAUGCGUAGAUAUCAGGAGGAACACCUGUGGUGUAGACAGCUUACUGGACCAUUUCUGACGCUGAGACACGAAAGCGUGGGUAGCAAACAGG
rnacentral:rRNA from 1 species